AAUAUAUCCGGAAGCAACUGUCAUGGCUGCUGUCAGUGAGGGCCCGUAAUGGAGAUCGAGUCAAGGGUUGCCCAGGGACACUUAAGAGCCUUCGGCUUCAAGGAGGCCUCUCAAAGGACAAAGGAUGAGACUGCCUGGCGGCAGAGUGCCCCCCACAAUCGUAGGAACUGUGUCGCCGCGCUUCCCGUUAACUUGCCGCUAAGUUUUUCUAGAAAAGUCGCCCUUCUUGCCAGGGGUGUCCUAUAGACUUUGUCAUGGAGUGAAACAGAAACAAAUAAUGGCCUGUCCAGAAGACAGCCAAAUACAUCCUUCAAACAGACUUCACUGCAGGAGACAGAGUGGAUUCAUCCUGUAUUCUCCAUGUAGACUUCCAUCUUCAUGAGUACUCCAAGAAGAUGGUUCAGUUGACUAUUGCAAAGUCUCAGGUAUGUCUUUAUCAGCAGCAUGAAAAUGGACUAAUAGUACCAGUAGAGUGGGGCAUUGCUGAAAAGAUACCCGAAAAUGUGGAAGCAACUUUGGAACUGGGUGUUGAAAUAAUCUGGAGGGCUCAGAAGAAGAUAGGAAAAUGUAGGAAAGUUUGGAACCUCCUAGAGACUGUGAAUGGCAUUGACAAAAAUACUGAUAGUGAUAUGAACAAUAAGGUCCAGGCUGAGGUGGUCUCAGAUGGAGAUGAAGACCUUGUUGGGAACUGAAGUAAAGGUGACCCUUGUUAUGUUUUAGCAAGGAGACUGGCAGCAUUUCACCCUUGCCCUAGAGAUUUGUGGAACUUAGAGCUUGAGAGAGAUGACUUAGGGUAUCUGGUGGAAUAAAUUUCUAAGCAGCAAAGCAUUCAAAAGGUGACUUGGGUGCUGUUAAAAACAUUCUGUUUUAAAAGGGAAACAAGAGCAUAAAUGUGGAAAAUCUGCAGCCUGAUGAUGCAGUAGAAAAGAAAAACCCAUUUUUUUUAAGGAGAAAUUCAAGCUGGCUGCAGAAAUUUGCAUAAGCAGCAAGGAGCCUAAUG
rnacentral:lncRNA from 1 species